rnacentral:SRP_RNA from 1 species
CCGCGCUAGUCGGGGAGUUAGCGGUGCCCUGUAUCUGCAAUCCGCUACAGCAGGGAUGAAUCCCGGCCCCCGGAAUCGUAUUGUGCCGUCUGACCCCGGUAAGCAGCGAUGAUGGAUCGGUCCUGCGCAACGGGCACCCGUGAACCGUGUCAGGCGGGGAACCGAGCAGCACUAAGCGGGCCCGCCCGUGUGCCGCGGGGAUUCCGCUCCUGAGCCGGCUGCCGGGGUAACGGGCAUAAUGCGAUCUUCAAAGGCCGGUGCGC